rnacentral:rRNA from 1 species
AUUACUCCUACGGGAGGCAGCAGUGGGGAAUUUUGGACAAUGGGGGAAACCCUGAUCCAGCCAUGCCGCGUGUGUGAAGAAGGCCUUUUGGUUGUAAAGCACUUUAAGUGGGGAGGAGGCUUACCUGGUUAAUACCUGGGCUAAGUGGACGUUACCCACAGAAUAAGCACCGGCUAACUCUGUGCCAGCAGCCGCGGUAAUAAU